rnacentral:rRNA from 1 species
UACGUAGGGUGCAAGCGUUGUCCGGAAUUAUUGGGCGUAAAGAGCUUGUAGGCGGUUUGUCGCGUCUGCUGUGAAAUUUCGGGGCUCAACCCCGAACUUGCAGUGGGUACGGGCAGACUAGAGUGUGGUAGGGGAGACUGGAAUUCCACGUGUAGCGGUGAAAUGCGUAGAGAUGUGGAGGAACACCAGUGGCGAAGGCGGCAUCCUGGACCAACACUGACACUGAGGAGCGAAAGCCAGGGGAGCAAACGGG